GCGAAUCGCCCUUCGGGGCGCAGCAGGCGCGAAAACUUUACAAUGCGGGAAACCGUGAUAAGGGGACACCGAGUGCCAGCAUCAUAUGCUGGCUGUCCAGGUGUGUAAAAUACACCUGUUAGCAAGGGCCGGGCAAGACCGGUGCCAGCCGCCGCGGUAACACCGGCGGCCCGAGUGGUGAUCGUGAUUAUUGGGUCUAAAGGGUCCGUAGCCGGUUUGGUCAGUCCUCCGGGAAAUCUGAUAGCUUAACUAUUAGGCUUUCGGAGGAUACUGCCAGACUUGGAACCGGGAGAGGUAAGAGGUACUACAGGGGUAGGAGUGAAAUCUUGUAAUCCCUGUGGGACCACCUGUGGCGAAGGCGUCUUACCAGAACGGGUUCGACGGUGAGGGACGAAAGCUGGGGGCACGAACCGGAUUAGAUACCCGGGUAGUCCCAGCCGUAAACGAUGCUCGCUAGGUGUCAGGCAUGGCGCGACCGUGUCUGGUGCCGCAGGGAAGCCGUGAAGCGAGCCACCUGGGAAGUACGGCCGCAAGGCUGAAACUUAAAGGAAUUGGCGGGGGAGCAC
rnacentral:rRNA from 1 species